rnacentral:rRNA from 1 species
GACGUAGGGGGCGAGCGUUGUCCGGAUUUAUUGGGCGUAAAGCGUGCGUAGGCGGCUGCGCAAGUCGGUUGUGAAACCCCGGGGCUCAACCCCGGAACUGCAUCCGAUACUGCGUGGCUAGAGGUAGGUAGGGGAGAUCGGAAUUCCUGGUGUAGCGGUGAAAUGCGCAGAUAUCAGGAGGAACACCGGUGGCGAAGGCGGAUCUCUGGGCCUUGCCUGACGCUGAGGCGCGAAAGCUAGGGGAGCGAACAGG